rnacentral:rRNA from 1 species
UACGGGGGGAGCAAGCGUUGUUCGGAAUUAUUGGGCGUAAAGAGCGUGUAGGCGGCCUGACAGGUCUGCUGUGAAAACUCGAGGCUCAACCUCGAGAUGUCGGCGGAAACCGUCUGGCUAGAGUCCGGAAGAGGAGAGUGGAAUUCCUGGUGUAGCGGUGAAAUGCGCAGAUAUCAGGAAGAACACCUAUGGCGAAGGCAGCUCUCUGGGACGGUACUGACGCUGAGACGCGAAAGCGUGGGGAGCGAACAGG